GUCUCUGAGGAUGGUCAAAACAAACUUCCGUUCUCCCGUGGUUUUAUUAAUCAAUGCGGAAAAUACUGGAGAUCUGAACUGAAGAACU